CAAAGCGUCUUCUCUCACGGCAACAAGCAACAACGACGAGAUUGAUCGACGGCGACGAGAUCGAGCAACGGUGACGAGAUCGAGUGUAUUCUCUCUCACAAAACAGACGAGAUUGAGACUCACAACCUCAAAAUGUCGAAUCCUCAGUAAGAACUACAAGUUUACAAGUUAACUUCAAACCAAUGAAGAAUGUGAGCACCUGAUCAGCCUCGCUAAACCCAACAUGCUUAAGUUAACUGUUGUUGAUGAGAAAACCGGUGGUAGCAAAGAUCCCUCUGGCUCUUGACUUGCCUAAUGUAGGGGACUUUGUGUAUGAUAACCCGAGGAACGGUAUCUCCAUUGUUCCUCCUGUUCCUAUGGAGAACUCGCUGAUUCAAGUGGUGAGUAUUACUGAGGAAGGUGCUUUUCUUGAGGCUGCUUCCACUGUUAUCCUGUUUGCGUCGCCUCUACGUUCUGUUUUCAUCAGAGCUCCAGCGUCUCCUUUGUACGUACCUGUCACAACCAUAAUGGAGAAGAUCUUAGGUCCAGUCUCUGUUGGUUCGCUGAGGUUGGUUCAACGGAUGUGAGGAUCAACCCAGUUGUUAGGUUCAACUACUUCAGUGACCCACAGGAUCUUGAGAGGUGUGUCAAAGGGACUAGGAAGAUUGGAGAGAUACUCAGGAGCCGAGCUAUGCAGGACUUUAUGUUCAGGGAAUGGUUUGGGAGCUAUAGGUUCAGGUUCGUCGGGGUGCCAUUCCGUUUUAGUUUUUAUUUAUUUUAAAUAGUAUAUUUAUAAUAUUUGAUUGUUUUAUAUUGACUAAGCUUGGGGUGGGUAUUUGAAUAUCCACUCGAAUUCGGUUAAAAUCUAUUCGGGUUUAAAAUUUUUGAGUUUAAAGAUUCUAACUCUAUUCGGGUAUUUAUAAAUUUUGGUUUCAGUUUGA